rnacentral:lncRNA from 1 species
UUGUAACCCUGUUUCGGCGACGGUUUGGGGUUGGGGGUGUUACAGUUGUUGGUAUUAGAGCUAUCAGGUUUAACCGAUUCUCGGACUAAAUCGGGCUCAUAAUUGAGUCUAGAUGUACAUGCCACUAUCGAGUCAAACUGAGUCGGGAUUUUUGGAUGCAGACCUAUUUGUUUGCUUUGUUUUAUAGAUUAAAGAUGUCUGAAGAAAGAAUAAAUGAUACUGAUGAAAGAAUGUAUACUGA